rnacentral:lncRNA from 1 species
AUGGAGGACAGGGUGGAGCCGGGAGGGAGGGGCACUCGGCGCGGGAGUAAGGGGGGGAGGGGCGGAAAGGUGGAAGAGCUGGAGCGCAGGGUGAAGAAAGAACCGGGAAGGCGCGCACGGGAGAGCACGGCCUGGGGCGUGGCUUGGGCCGGGGGCGUGGCGCAGGACGCGGCGCGGGUACGUCUGGCCCCCCAGCUUCCGCUCAGCCCCCUUCUGGCGCUGGGGGCCGCCGGAGCCCGUUUCCUACGCGGGGCACGCGGCCGGAAGGCCGGGCCGCCUCCCCGUCUCGGGGCUCCUGCGGUGGAGUCCGCACCCCGAGGGUCGCUCGGGAGCGAGUGCACGCCCGUCUCUCGGGGCUGGCCGGGCCGGUUUGCAGGCAGGGACCAUCCACUUAACUGCCACACCAGGAAUCUCAAAUAUGCAGGGACAAGAGAAAUACUUGUUUCUCAUCAGGCCCUUGGACACCCUCUGGCUAUAUACUCAGGGUGUGGUGGGAAUGAGCAGAGAAGGGCUUUGGUGUCAAUGGAUAGUUUAGCCUGGAGUGUUCCACAGAAACACAAAAGCAGAAUCGCUGUGCAUAAUGACAACCUUUGGCUGGAUCAGAGUGGGACCCAGAGAAGCUUGGAGAUGACGGGUUGAAAGAAGAGUAAGUCUGAGUGGCCGCCUCUUAUCAGCAGGACAGAACUGACAGCUCUGUGUGUUCAGCACUGGCCUCCGUGUAUCUCUGUCAUCACAUCACUGGAACAUGCUAGUCAAUGGUGCCCACUGCCUGCAGAUCACUGAGCCUGCUAAGAAGUUCCAUUGGCCAGAGUCCAGAGCUAUUGCUCUCAUUUAGGUCCUGGACCCUUCAUCUUUCAGGAUUUCCCCAAGCUGCCGUUGAUGAAUUUUUGGGCCUCUGCCCAAGGAUCUGAUGUAGAAAAGCACUAUGGAGGGGCGGAAUGCCAUAGUGGUUAAGGGUGCAGGCUCUGAUGUCAGAUGCUUGGGUUUGGAUACUGGCUCUGUUGGUAAUUUAGUUACCCUCAGAUACUCACCUAUGAAAUGGGGAUGACAGUAGUAUUUAUUUCAUAUGGUUGUCUUGAUGAGGAUUAUUAAUGCAUGCUCACUUUUUUUUUUUUUUAAUUUUUUUUUUUCAACGUUUAUUUAUUCUUGGGACAGAGAGAGACAGAGCAUGAACGGGGGAGGGGCAGAGAGAGGGAGACACAGAAUCGGAAGCAGCCUCCAGGCUCUGAGCCGUCAGUCCAGAGCCUGACACGGGGCUCGAACUCACGGACUGCGAGAUCGUGACCUGGCUGAAGUCGGACGCUUAACCGACUACGCCACCCAGGCGCUCCAAUACAUGCUCACUUCUUAGAUCAACACUUG